CAAGGCUGCUCUUCUUCCUAUAGGGGAAACAACUAAAACUGAGUGCUGGUUUAGGGGAAGGACUGACACCCUGGGGCCAAUAACAGGACAAUGUUCCGCAAAGAGGUGGCAGGGAAAGAAUAGCUACUGAUUAGCAGCAUAACCAAAGUGCACAGGAAACCCUGGUGUUCAACAGCAUGUUAAAGAAAACCCAGGAGCAACAAUAAACAGCAAAAACAAAGUGAUGUACUGCAGGAGCUGAGUAGCAUCAUAUUUCCAUAUUGGGAAGAAAUCUUAAGACAGAGAAUGUGGGACAAGUUUCAGAGUAGCAGCCCGAGCUAUCAAGGUCAGUGUAAGUGGGCUGCAUUUGAUAAAGGGAUGCUACUAAAAUCCCCAUUCAAUGUGUGAAUGCUUCACUGGCUGUUCUCUUUGAGCUUGAAUGAAG